UACGUAGGGUGCAAGCGUUGUCCGGAAUUAUUGGGCGUAAAGAGCGUGUAGGCGGCCCGAUUAGUCCGCUGUGAAAGUCCAGGGCUCAACCCUGGAAUGCCGGUGGAUACUGUCGGGCUAGAGUCCGGAAGGGGCGAGUGGAAUUCCUGGUGUAGCGGUGAAAUGCGCAGAUAUCAGGAGGAACACCAGCGGCGAAGGCGGCGCUCUGGGCCGGUACUGACACUGAGGAGCGAAAGCGUGGGUAGCAAACAGG
rnacentral:rRNA from 1 species